CAGUAGCCGCGGUAAUGCGAAGGGGGCUAGCGUUGCUCGGAAUCACUGGGCGUAAAGGGUGCGUAGGCGGGUCUUUAAGUCAGGGGUGAAAUCCUGGAGCUCAACUCCAGAACUGCCUUUGAUACUGAAGAUCUUGAGUUCGGGAGAGGUGAGUGGAACUGCGAGUGUAGAGGUGAAAUUCGUAGAUAUUCGCAAGAACAUCAGUGGCGAAGGCGGCUCACUGGCCCGAUACUGACGCUGAGGCACGAAAGCGUGGGGAGCUAACAGGAUUAGAUACCCGUGUAGUCCCUGUCUCUUAUAC
rnacentral:rRNA from 1 species